UUUUCUUUCUUUCCCUGAAAUAUUUUUGCCCUAUUCUUUUCCCCCCCUCCCUAGGGAAUGUGACUACAGAAUGAUGUGUGGAGUCAUUUAGCUUUAAUUCUAUAGCCCUGUGCACUUAUUUUGUUUUUUAUUGUGCCAUUUUUAUUUUUUUUUGUGCCAUCCAGUUUUUUAUUGUGCCAUCCAGUUCAACCUACAAGCCCAUGGAUGGUACCUACAGGUUGAAACAUUCUGUUCUUGAACAGAGGAAAAACACUCUUCACACAGUGCUUACGAGUUUCUGAAGUCUUUAUUGGUACUCUGCACACCUUCACACCUCCGUGAGAAGAAAACAGUAGAUUUAUAUUAGAAACUGUAUUGAAAAAUGUCUACUUCAAACACACUCAAAGGACUUUCCGGUUGUUUUAUUGCUAUGCCAGAAUACCUUCAUGUAACUGAAGUAACUUGGACUAAGCAAGAGAGAAAAACGUUAACAGGCCAGGCCUGGGUCCAACAGUGAAGAACGAGAAGAUUGUUCUUGAGGCCUAGUCAAUAUCAAUGUAAGCAUCACAAUGAAGGAAAACAUGACUACAUAAAAAAUUAACAACAAGGAGGCUGAUUUCCUUUUGAGAGGAAAAAAUUUUGAAAACCUGAAGAAUUGAGAGCAUAGAAAGAAACCCAUGUAAUCAUGUAAGUACAGUGCCUGCCACAAAGUUAACACUAUCUGUUCAAUCCAUACUGAAAGAAAAAAUAAAUGUUGAGACAGUAUCUUUGAAUGC
rnacentral:lncRNA from 1 species